rnacentral:rRNA from 1 species
GGGCAGGGGGGGGCAUGCUUACCAUGCAAGUCGGACGGCAGCGCGGGGGCAACCCUGGCGGCGAGUGGCGAACGGGUGAGUAAUACAUCGGAACGUGUCCUGGAGUGGGGGAUAGCCCGGCGAAAGCCGGAUUAAUACCGCAUACGCUCUGUGGAGGAAAGCGGGGGAUCUUCGGACCUCGCGCUCAAGGGGCGGCCGAUGGCAGAUUAGCUAGUUGGUGGGGUAAAGGCCUACCAAGGCGACGAUCUGUAGCUGGUCUGAGAGGACGACCAGCCACACUGGGACUGAGACACGGCCCAGACUCCUACGGGAGGCAGCAGUGGGGAAUUUUGGACAAUGGGGGCAACCCUGAUCCAGCAAUGCCGCGUGUGUGAAGAAGGCCUUCGGGUUGUAAAGCACUUUUGUCCGGAAAGAAAACUUCGCUCCUAAUACGGGUGGAGGAUGACGGUACCGGAAGAAUAAGCACCGGCUAACUACGUGCCAGCAGCCGCGGUAAUACGUAGGGUGCGAGCGUUAAUCGGAAUUACUGGGCGUAAAGCGUGCGCAGGCGGUUCGCUAAGACCGAUGUGAAAUCCCCGGGCUUAACCUGGGAACUGCAUUGGUGACUGGCGGGCUAGAGUAUGGCAGAGGGGGGUAGAAUUCCACGUGUAGCAGUGAAAUGCGUAGAGAUGUGGAGGAAUACCGAUGGCGAAGGCAGCCCCCUGGGCCAAUACUGACGCUCAUGCACGAAAGCGUGGGGAGCAAACAGAU